GGCUGGUCCAAUGGAUUGUCAGAACUUAUUAGUGUCACUAAAGUUGGUAGACAAUCCCCCACUGCUAAAUUUGACUGGCUUAA
rnacentral:sRNA from 1 species